rnacentral:rRNA from 1 species
UACGUAGGGGGCUAGCGUUGUCCGGAAUCAUUGGGCGUAAAGAGCGCGUAGGCGGCCCGGUAAGUCUGCUGUAAAAGUCAAAGGCUUAACCUUUGAAAGUCAGUGGAUACUGCCGGGCUAGAGUCCGGAAGAGGAGUGUGGAAUUCCUGGUGUAGCGGUGAAAUGCGCAGAUAUCAGGAAGAACACCUAUGGCGAAGGCAGCACUCUGGGGACGGUACUGACGCUGAGACGCGAA